rnacentral:rRNA from 1 species
AUUGAACGCUGGCGGCAGGCCUAACACAUGCAAGUCGAACGAGUGGCGGACGGGUGAGUAAUGUCUGGGAAACUGCCUGAUGGAGGGGGAUAACUACUGGAAACGGUAGCUAAUACCGCAUACCAUCGGAUGUGCCCAGAUGGGAUUAGAUAGUAGGUGGGGUAAAGGCUCACCUAGGCGACGAUCCCUAGCUGGUCUGAGAGGAUGACGCGCCACACUGGUACUGAGACACGGACCAGACUCCUACGGGAGGCAGCAGUGGGGAAUAUUGCACAAUGGGUGCAAGCAUGACGCAGCCAUGCCGCGUGUAUGAAGAAGGCCUUCGGGUUGUAAAGUACUUUCGGCGGUGAGGCGUUACCCGCAGAAGAAGCACCGGCUAACUCCGUGCCAGCAGCCGCGGUAAUUC